GAAUUUCUAGGAUUUCAGAGAGCAUUUUUUUUUUUGUUGAAACAAUGUGUCAACGCUCCAUAAUUUUACAUCCCAAGGAAAAAAGAAAAGCUUUAUUCAAAUAUCGCCCAGCAACGAGGACAUUGAUGACAAAAUGAAAAGAAUUUUCCAAAUGACCUCUAUGAAAACCUAGUGGCUGUUGUGUCUGUUUCACAUAUUAUAACUCUUAAUCCUCCUCGACUAUUCUCAAAUCUCCUAUUUCAACCUUCCACCAUUUUCUCAGAAAACAGAAAUAUCAAUUAUAGGUCUUAUAUAACAAUCCCACAUAGAAUGUGCUUAACCUGUAUAUGAGGGACAAAAAUUUCAAAAAACUAUGGACCAAAAUUUUUAUCAUUCAUGAAAAAGAAUCAUGAGGUCAUAAUAGCAGUGGAAUAUAUUCAUGGAAACUUUGUGCCAAAGAGAGCAUUUGAUCCUGGAACUCGAAUGGGCCGGUUAGCAGAAAUAGGAGGUUGCAGAAGAGGAAAGUGGCUUGGGAUUGCAAAUGGCUGCUGCCCACCAGCUACAAAAGGUGGGGGCGCACACAGUUGCAAGGCCUGGCCUGUUGCACUCCCUUGGUGCUUAGGAUAUUGGACCUGAUGUUGAGUCAACAGAGGACGUGCAGAUACAGGCGAGAUAGUUGCUGUACUCUGAACCAAAUCCUUCCAUAUGAAACAAAAUACAAAUAAACAAUCAGAGAAUUACGUUCUUCGAUAAGAAACCCAGGAUGAGACACAGAAUAAUAUAAAGUAAGAAACAGCUUAUAACUCUAGAUGAUGAUGAUAGACAGGAACCCAAAUGUGAGAAAUCAAGAAAAUAAACUUGCACCUGAUUUUCUUUCAACAAAUGCACAUAAUAAUACAGAUGCAAAGUUCAUUAGCCGACAUAAUAGUUUAACUAUUUUCUUAAAAAUUAUAUUUUGCAUUAUAUUUGCAGCUGAUUAAACCCUAUAUCAAUGAUGUACACGAUAAUAAUAGGAAUGCAGUUAUUAUGUAUUUAUAUUUAAUUAUAGAAGCAUGGCCAUGACUUAAAAGGUCUCUCUUGUCAGCCAGACACUACUGAGAAAGACAUAAUACUUUGUAGACCAGAAGAGAAAGAAAACUCUGUGAGAAUGCGUCAAAAUCAAUAUGUGCAAAAGAAAUACUGCUCUACAUUUGAGCUAAAUAUUAUUUCUCUUCUAUUUUAGUGAAUAUUUGAUAUUUUCGCUUCUUGAAAUAUAAUACAGACUACUUCCUGCUAUGGCCAUAAAACACUUCAAGAACUAUAUUAUUUUUUAGAUUAGACUAAGGAAACUACCAAACAUCAUAGUGCUUUUUUGUUGUGGAUGUUAUGUCUUACAUGAGGAACUGGCUGCACAUAGACAAUCUGCCCAACUCGUCCAACCAUAACAGCUUGAGAAUUUGGAGGCACAUAUGUUGGUGUAGCCUGAACAGCAUGAUAUUGACCAGCAUAUCUAAGUGGCUGUGUCCUGUUCCCCACAAUAGGUUGUGAAAAUUGAGGACCAUUGCCACCAUUUACAGCUGUCAAAUUAGAGUAUGGAGCAAACUUAAUAGGGACAGAAGGCCGUACGAAAGGACUGAUUCCAACUUCUGGCUGAGCAGCAGCAGCAAUAGGUACCAUGGGAGAGUUGCUUGGUAUGUAAGGCAUGCUUGCAACUGCUGGCACUGAGGCAGUGGCUGACAUUGGAGUUGCAAAAGAUGGGCAAAAAAUUUUUGCUGCUGGAUUGAGCUUGAACU
rnacentral:misc_RNA from 1 species